rnacentral:lncRNA from 1 species
UGCAAAGUAACAUUGAUACAAGUAAAUCAUAUAUGCUCACACCCAAACAUACAACCAACCAACAACUCUUAGUAAUUGCUUCCCUAAAUUUAAAGAAAAUAGGCUGAUAGUUUCAUAAUCUUCUAAAUAAAAACUAUAACAGAACCACAAAAAUUUAAAUACUUUAAAUGGUAAUAUAUAAAGCAAGACUUUAUGCAAGUGACAAAGAAGAACUAACAAUGAAGUUAAAACAUGACCUUGAGCCAAUGAGAAUUAGAAGGAGAUUAAAACCUUAGUUUCUUCAAAGAGACACAAACCCCACAAUAGAUGGAACACAUAAAUCAAGACAGGGUUGAACAGUCUAAAACUGUGAUUGAACACAACAUGCACCUUUGAGAUAAUAUAUAGUGCAUAAAUAAAUCAAAACUUGGACUCAACUCAUUCCUGCAUGAUAUCCUUAAUU